rnacentral:rRNA from 1 species
CAGUCGCCGCGGUAAUACGUAGGGUACGAGCGUUAAUCGGAAUUACUGGGCGUAAAGCGUGCGCAGGCGGUUGUGUAAGACAGGUGUGAAAUCCCCGGGCUCAACCUGGGAACUGCAUUUGUGACUGGCAAGCUAGAGUGUGGCAGAGGGGGGUGGAAUUCCGCGUGUAGCAGUGAAAUGCGUAGAUAUGCGGAGGAACACCGAUGGCGAGGGCAGCCCCCUGGGCCAACACUGACGCUCAUGCACGAAAGCGUGGGGAGCAAACAGGAUUAGAUACCCCGGUAGUCCCUGUCUCUUAUAC